rnacentral:rRNA from 1 species
GACGAACGCUGGCGGCGUGCUUAACACAUGCAAGUCGAACGGAAAGGCCCUGCUUUUGUGGGGUGCUCGAGUGGCGAACGGGUGAGUACCACGUGAGUCUCCUCCCCUUGACUUUGUGAUUACUUCAGGCAACUGCGGCUAAUACCGGAUAGGUGCUCCUGCUUCGUGGUGGGGGUUGGAAAGUUUCGGCGGUUGGGGAUGGACUCGCGGCUUAUCAGCUUGUUGGUGGGGUAGUGGCUUACCAAGGCUUUGACGGGUAGCCGGCCUGAGAGGGUGACCGGCCACAUUGGGACUGAGAUACGGCCCAGACUCCUACGGGAGGCAGCAGUGGGGAAUAUUGCACAAUGGGCGGAAGCCUGAUGCAGCAACGCCGCGUGCGGGAUGACGGCCUUCGGGUUGUAAACCGCUUUCGCCUGUGACGAAGCGUGAGUGACGGUAAUGGGUAAAGAAGCACCGGCUAACUACGUG